rnacentral:lncRNA from 1 species
UUGAGAGGAACAAAGGUGGGUGACGUGCAGAUAUUGUGAUGUAGAAUCCAGAUGUAGCUCAAAUAAUAACAAAGUAUAUUACUGGGCAACGAUGGACACCUUGCAAAGAGAUGUUAUCCAACAACAUAGAAAACCCAUAUUUGUUGGACUCACCCUCAGUAUAUUAUGUCCCAGACAUGUAACGGUCUCUACCAAAAUUCCAAAACGGCAGACACCUGACUAUGUCUGGUAUUCAAAGUACAUAAAUGUCAUAAAUUGAUUUCCUCUAUUAAUAGUUUAGCAACAAAGAAAAAAACUAACAUGGGUAUUCAAGCACAUAAUAGGAACUUUCAAUGACUAAACUUGUUUGAAUAUGAACAUGAAUACAAACAUAAAUUCAAGCAGCAGGAACAAUGAAAAACAUAUUUUGUUGAAAGGAACAAAGAGUUUAGUGAGGGGCAGAAAUUGUGAUGUAGCAUCCAGAUGUAGCUCUAAUAAUAAUAGCAUAUUACUGGGCAACGAUGGACACCUUCCAAAGAGAUGUUAUCCAACAACAUAGAAAACCCAUAUUUGUUGGACUCACUCUAAGUAUAUUAUGUCCCAGACAUGUAACAGUCUCUGCCAAAUUUUCAAAAACGGCAAACACCUGACUAUGUCUGGUUUCAAAGUACAAAAAAUGACAAAUUGUUGUCCUCUAUUUUAAGUUUAGCAUAACAAGGAAUAAAAAAACUAACACUAGAUUCGAGCACCGUAAUAGGAACUUCCAAUAAUUAAACUUGUAUGAAUGUGAAUACAAACAUAAAUUCUAACAUAAUGAAUAAUGUAAGAAAUGAUUUAAUUAAAAGGUACAAAGGUGAUUGAGAGGCAGAAAUUGUGAUGUAGAAUCCAGAUGAAGCACAGAUAAUAACAAAGUAUAUUACUGAGCAACGAUGGACACCUUCCAAAGAGAUGUUAUCCAACAACAUGGAAAACCCAUAUUUGUCAGACUCACUCCAAGCAUAUUAUGUCCCAGGCAUGUAACAGUGUCUACCAAAUUUCAAAUAACAGCAGACACUUGACUAUGUCUGGUAUUCAAAGUAAAACAAUGUCAUAAAAUGUUUUCCUUUAUUAACUCUUCGGCAAAGAAAUGAAAAUUUUAUCGUAGGUAUUCAAGAACCUUAAAAGAAACUUUCUAUAAUUAAUCUUGUUUGUGAGUAUAUAAACACAAACAUAAUUCUACCAAAACAAAUAAUACAAAAAUGACAUUGUUAAAGUGAGUAAGGGGCAGAAAUUGUAAUGUAGAAUCCAGAUGUAGCUCAAAUAAUAACGAAGUAUAUUACUGGGCAACGAUAGACACUAUCCCAAGAGAUACUAUCCAACAACAUGGAAAACCCAUAUUUAUCAGACGCACUCUCAGUAUAUUAUGUUCCAGACAUGUAACAGUCCCUACCACAUUUCCAAACAAGGCAGACACCUGACUAUGUCUGGUAUUCUAAAGAAAAAUACUUCAUAUUGUGAUUUUCUAUAUGAACACAAACAGAAUUCUAACAACACAAAUAAUACAAAAAUGUUUUUUGUUAAAGUGAGUAAGGGGCAGAAAUUGUGAUGUAGAAUCCAGAUGUAGCUCAAAUAAGAAUGAAAUAUAUUACUGGGCAACGAUGGACACUUUCUCAAGAGAUGUCAUCCAACAACAUGGAAAACCCAUAUUUAUCAGACACACUCUUAGUAUAUUAUGUCCCAGACAUGUAACAGUCCCUACCACAUUUCCAAAAAGGGCAGACACCUGACUAUGUCUGAUAUUCUAAAGACAAAUAUUUCAGAUUUUGAUUCUCUCUAUUAAUUGUUCAGCAACCAUGAAAAGAUAAAACUUGAAUAGGGACUAUACGCAUCAUAAUAGGAAGUUGCAAUAAUUAUUUCUUAUGUACAUAUCAAUACAUAAAUAAAUUCUAAAACUAUAUCUCAGCAGCUUUGGUUGUGAUUCAUAU